UACGGAGGAGGCAAGCGUUAUCCGGAAUUAUUGGGCGUAAAGCGUCCGUAGGUGGCACCUCAAGUCUGCUGUCAAAGCCCGGGGCUUAACCCCAGAAAGGCAGUGGAAACUGAAGUGCUAGAGUGCAGUAGGGGUAGAGGGAAUUCCCGGUGUAGCGGUGAAAUGCGUAGAGAUCGGGAAGAACAUCGGUGGCGAAAGCGACUUGCUGGACUGCAACUGACGCUCAGGGACGAAAGCUAGGGGAGCGAAUGGG
rnacentral:rRNA from 1 species